rnacentral:rRNA from 1 species
UACGAAGGGGGCUAGCGUUGCUCGGAAUCAUUGGGCGUAAAGCGCGUGUAGGCGGCCCGGUAAGUCCGCUGUGAAAGUCCAGGGCUCAACCCUGGGAUGCCGGUGGAUACUGUCGGGCUCGAGUCCGGAAGAGGCGAGUGGAAUUCCUGGUGUAGCGGUGAAAUGCGCAGAUAUCAGGAGGAACACCAAUGGCGAAGGCAGCUCGCUGGGACGUGACUGACGCUGAGACGCGAAAGCGUGGGGAGCAAACAGG